rnacentral:rRNA from 1 species
AUUGAACGCUGGCGGCGUGCUUAACACAUGCAAGUCGAUCGGUAACAGGUGUAGCAAUACAUGCUGACGAGAGGCGGACGGGUGAGUAAUGCUUGGGAAUCUGCCUAUUAGUGGGGGACAACCCGGGGAAACUCGGGCUAAUACCGCAUACGCUCUACGGAGGAAAGCCGGGGACCGCAAGGCCUGGCGCUAAUAGAUGAGCCCAAGUCGGAUUAGCUAGUUGGUAGGGUAACGGCCUACCAAGGCGACAAUCCGUAGCUGGUCUGAGAGGACGACCAGCCACACCGGAACUGAGACACGGUCCGGACUCCUACGGGAGGCAGCAGUGGGGAAUAUUGGACAAUGGGGGCAACCCUGAUCCAGCGACGCCGCGUGGGUGAAGAAGGCCUGCGGGUUGUAAAGCCCUUUCGGUGGGGAAGAAAAGUCUCGACCUAAUACGUCGGGACCUUGACGUAACCCACUAAAGAAGCACCGGCUAACUCUGUGCCAGCCGCCGCAGUAAC